GCGCUGGCAGUACAACUGGCUAGCACGCACCUCCGAAAGGGUGAAAUGCGGGUUCGAUUCCCGCCUGGCGUCA